AUCUAUGGCCAUUCCACCCUGAACGAGCCCGAUCCUGUCUGAUCUGGGAAGCUAAGCAGGGUCGGGCCUGGUUAGUACUUGGAUGAGAGGCCAUCCAGGAAGACCAGGUGCUGUAGGCG
rnacentral:rRNA from 1 species